CUAAAUUAAUUCAUUUUCUCUUCCGCUUCUUUCCAACAAAACUCACUUCUUCUCGAAUCAUUACUCAUUCAUUCCUGUAAGUUUCGUCAUUUUCUCUCUUUCACUCUCUUUCACGAUGGUGUGAACUCGUUCUUGUAAGUUUCGUCAUUUUCUCUCUUUCACUCUCUUUCACGACGGUGCGAAGGGCUCACUAUCCUCCAUCAUCUUCGAGUGUUGUGGAUUCCUCUUUCUUCUUUUCUCCAUCAUCUUCGAGGUUCUUCUAGAGAGUUCAAAUUCUCCUCUGAUUCUUGACUAUACGGGCAUCAUGUUCAAGAAAUUUUGAAGCUACUACCUGGACCACAUCUAGAAACGAAGAUUUGAUGAAGAUUGAAUGAAGCUCUUUUGAACUAUCUUGAAG